rnacentral:rRNA from 1 species
CAGCAGCCGCGGUAAUACGAGGGGGGCAAGCGUUGUUCGGAAUUAUUGGGCGUAAAGGGUGCGUAGGCGGCUUGACAAGUCUUGCGUGAAAUCUAUGGGCUCAACCCAUAGUCUGCACGGGAAACUGUCGGGCUUGAGAAUGAGAGAGGUGAGUGGAAUUCCGAGUGUAGAGGUGAAAUUCGUAGAUAUUCGGAAGAACACCAGUGGCGAAGGCGGCUCACUGGCUCAUUCUAGACGCUGAGGUGCGAAAGCGUGGGGAGCAAACAGGAUUAGAUACCCGCGUAGUCCCUGUCUCUUAUAC